rnacentral:rRNA from 1 species
AUUCCAGCUCCAAUAGCGUAUAUUUAAGUUGUUGCAGUUAAAAAGCUCGUAGUUGGAUCUUGGCUCGUAAGGGUCGGUCCGCCUACUCGGUGUGCACCUGCCCUUCCGUCCCUUUUGUCGGCGGCGUGCUCCUGGCCUUAAUUGGCUGGGUCGCGGUUCCGGCGCUGUUACUUUGGAAAAAUUAGAGUGCUCAAAGCAAGCUUAUGCUCUGAAUACAUUAGCAUGGAAUAACGUGAUAGGAGUCUGGUCCUAUUGUGUUGGCCUUCGGGACCGGAGUAAUGAUUAAUAGGGACUGUCGGGGCAUUCGUAUUUCAUUGUCAGAGGUGAAAUUCUUGGAUUUAUGAAAGACGGACCACUGCGAAAGCAUUUGCCAAGGAGGUUUUCAUUA